rnacentral:tRNA from 1 species
GGCCUUAUAGUCAGUGAUGAUAUCAGACUGCAAUUCUGGAGGAGUAGGGACCAUUCUACUAAGGCUU